AAUACAUGCAAGUCGAACGCGCAGCGAAAGAUGCUUGCACCUUUCAAGCGAGUGGCGAACGGGUGAGUAACACGUGGAUAACCUGCCUCAAGGCUGGGGAUAACAUUUGGAAACAGAUGCUAAUACCGAAUAAAACUUAGUAUCGCAUGAUACAAAGUUAAAAGGCGCUACGGCGUCACCUAGAGAUGGAUCCGCGGUGCAUUAGUUAGUUGGUGGGGUAAAGGCUUACCAAGACGAUGAUGCAUAGCCGAGUUGAGAGACUGAUCGGCCACAUUGGGACUGAGACACGGCCCAAACUCCUACGGGAGGCUGCAGUAGGGAAUCUUCCACAAUGGGCGCAAGCCUGAUGGAGCAACGCCGCGUGUGUGAUGAAGGCUUUCGGGUCGUAAAGCACUGUUGUAUGGGAAGAAAUGCUAAAAUAGGGAAUGAUUUUAGUUUGACGGUACCAUACCAGAAAGGGACGGCUAAAUACGUGCCAGCAGCCGCGGUAAUACGUAUGUCCCGAGCGUUAUCCGGAUUUAUUGGGCGUAAAGCGAGCGCAGACGGUUGAUUAAGUCUGAUGUGAAAGCCCGGAGCUCAACUCCGGAAUGGCAUUGGAAACUGGUUAACUUGAGUGUUGUAGAGGUAAGUGGAACUCCAUGUGUAGCGGUGGAAUGCGUAGAUAUAUGGAAGAACACCAGUGGCGAAGGCGGCUUACUGGACAACAACUGACGUUGAGGCUCGAAAGUGUGGGUAGCAAACAGGAUUAGAUACCCUGGUAGUCCACACCGUAAACGAUGAAUACUAGGUGUUAGGAGGUUUCCGCCUCUUAGUGCCGAAGCUAACGCAUUAAGUAUUCCGCCUGGGGAGUACGACCGCAAGGUUGAAACUCAAAGGAAUUGACGGGGACCCGCACAAGCGGUGGAGCAUGUGGUUUAAUUCGAAGCAACGCGAAGAACCUUACCAGGUCUUGACAUCCUUUGAAGCUUUUAGAGAUAGAAGUGUUCUCUUCGGAGACAAAGUGACAGGUGGUGCAUGGUCGUCGUCAGCUCGUGUCGUGAGAUGUUGGGUUAAGUCCCGCAACGAGCGCAACCCUUAUUGUUAGUUGCCAGCAUUCAGUUGGGCACUCUAGCGAGACUGCCGGUGACAAACCGGAGGAAGGCGGGGACGACGUCAGAUCAUCAUGCCCCUUAUGACCUGGGCUACACACGUGCUACAAUGGCGUAUACAACGAGUUGCCAACCUGCGAAGGUGAGCUAAUCUCUUAAAGUACGUCUCAGUUCGGACUGCAGUCUGCAACUCGACUGCACGAAGUCGGAAUCGCUAGUAAUCGCGGAUCAGCACGCCGCGGUGAAUACGUUCCCGGGGUCUUGUACACACCGCCCGUCACACCAUGGGAGUUUGUAAUGCCCAAAGCCGGUGGCCUAACCUUCGGGAGGGAGCCGUC
rnacentral:rRNA from 1 species